ncrna:unclassified sequences DTF3800-I RNA
UAUAGCUACAGAUGAGUGGUUCAUACUGUUUACAUCUGGUUGUUGAUAAUAGAUAUUAAGCGUAUGUUAAGUACGCCAAGUCAGAUGGGAGAAUACCGGUUUAACUGGUGUUCUUUUUUUUAUAU